UCUGGGUGCCAAUAUCACCUCUAGGCUCACAGCCAUAGGAAGAGGCCUGGAGGUCUGGAGUGACGGAGCCCUAAGGGAGACAGAGACCCUUUCCUUCCCUUCUCCUUUGCCCUAGGACACUUCCCAGGAGAUCCUAGAACACCUCUCUCCUCUGAACUCAGCUGGCAUCUGGGAUGGAUCCUCAACCAGCCUCCCAGGGCCUCUGCCACCCACGAGGAACUGUGGGCUGCCUGAGAAAGAGAUAAUUGCUUGAACCAGUUGGCCAGGAGUAAUGGAGGCUGAUCAUGAAAUCCAUCUGCAACGCCUUGUCAGCCCUCACUCAGGCUGUGGCUUUUAGGUAGGCCUCUCUUUCUGCAGCUCGCCUAAGUAUUGCUUUCAGCAUCUAGCUGGCCUAAAUUUAAGAAUAGAAAUUUCCAUUAGUUUCUGUUCUUGAUGACAUGUGCUAAUACAGCAAGAGCAGUUAAGGUGAGAUAAACAAUUGACGAUGGAACGGGGUGACUCCCGGUUUGUUGACGAGGUUGGGAAGCGGGGUUCUGAUUCUAAGAGGGAGAAAAGCCAGAGAACGUGGACAGCUGUGUUCGCACACGCAUGAGGAGAGUUGAGUUAACACAUCGGGAUUAUGACGUAAACCACGAGGUGUGUGGACGGUCCCGGGCAAGUGUUAUUUCCGUGCUGCUGAUUUCUCCUUCGAAGGCUUGCGGUUGAGCUGCUGCUUCGGUAAACUCUGGGAAGAAGAACACGCCGCUCUUCCUAGUGCCUCUGUCAUCGGAAUGAUUUUUUAGGUCCUACUCACCAGAUUUCAUUGGAAAGGCUCAACAUUACUCCCUAGGCUGCCACCUGGGAGGUGACACUGAUCCCCCUACCUACUUGGUUCAAGUGGCUUUCUCUCUGUGUUAACCUGUCUGCAGGGCUUGCUCAGGCAAGAGGAUCUGAAGAAUGCCUAGUUGAUGGAAAUUCAUCCCGCUCAAGGGUACUUAACGAUGCUCUUGAAGCAUUGGCGCUAGAAACCAAAAACCCUUUGGGACAAGAACUGCAUCUGGUGACUCCUUCCAUUCCCCAACACCACAUGGCAUUGGACUUUGCACACCGAGUUCGGCAGAUAACACGUUAAAUAAAUGACCCAUUAGACAUCACGUCUCUGCCUGCUAUUUACUCUGCCCCUGAGUGUGCCCAUCUGGAGUGUGAGAUAAUGCCGUUAAGCUGCCCCUCCGGCCCCAUCAGCAGCCCCAGGUGAGGAAAGGCAAAGGCCAGUUUCAGAUCAACCCCCUGAGCUGAUGUCGCAAUCUUCCCUCGGCAAACACACGUCAGCAUUUCUGCUUCCAUAUCUCUUCCUACGUAUCUGCAGAAAACAGACUCCUUAAGAGAAUGGCUGGUUGUUGAAAUGGGAACCAUUACUGAAGGCACAGCCGUGGUCUUUCUUUCCUCCUCUCUCUUUUGUUGUAAAACCCACCGACAAGUGUUUUCACAAUUAGAAAUAAAGACAGAGAGAGAGACAGAGAGAGAGAGAGAGAGAGAAAGAGAGAGAGAGGAGAAAGAAAAGGAAUGACAUCACCUAGCCCUACCCUCUUUUGUAGGGAGCACCGCCAGACAGAUAAAUGGCAUUAUCUCAAACCUUAAAGCACUGGCUGGACAUGAUCCUCAAGAAUGGGGAGGUCCUUACAAUGGUUGAGCUUUGCUGAGAAUGAAGCCACGGACAUGAGUUUUAGAGCUAUGUCUUCACAUGUAUUAUCAAAAGUAUGCAUGUGAAGCCAGGCGUGGUGGUGCAUGCCUUUAAUCCCAGCACUGGGGAGGCAGAGGCAGGCGGAUUUCUGAGUUCGAGGCCAGCCUGGUCUACAAAGUGAGUGCCAGGACAGCCAGGGCUACACAGAGAAACCCUGUCUCAAAAAACCAAAAAAAAAAAAAAAAAAAAAAAAAGUAUGCAUGUGAUUAACUUAACAAUGCCACUGUGAUUCCCAACUGCAUCCAAAUCUGCCCCAGAGUUCCUGAUGGCUGUGAGCUUCCUAGAUUUUUUAAAAAUUCGCUUUACAUCCCGAUCACAGAUGCCCUGCCUUCUCUCUUUCCAGUCCCACCCUUACAAAUCCCUCCUCCCAUUGGCCCUUUCCUUUCACAGAAGGGGAAGUCCCUCUUGGGUACCACUUCAUCCUGGGGCAUCUAGUCCCAGCAGGACUAGGCACAUCCUCUCCCACUGAGGUCCAACCAGGCAGCUGAAGUAGGGAAAGGGGGCGGUUAAUGGCAGGGAACAGAGACAGAGACAACCCCCACUCCACUUGUUAGGAGACCCAUGUGAAAACCAAGCUGCACAUCUGCUACAAAUGCCUAGGGGGUCUAAGUCCAGGUCUCAUUUAUGUCCUGAUUGGUGAACCAGGCUCUGUGAGCCCCUAUGGUCCCAGGUUAGUUGACACUGUGGGUCUUCUUGUGGUGUCCUUGGCCCCUCCUACUUUCUCACUUCUAUCCCCCACUCUUCUACAAGACUCCCCCGGGGCUCCACUUGAUGUAUGGCUCUGGGUCUGCACCUGCGUCCGUCUGCUGUUAUAUUGUUGAAGAAAAUAAAUUACAUUAAAAUAA